GAAGAUGACAGAAGGCAGCAGUUACUCCUCCCACUGGGGAGCUACUUCAUCCAAAACACAGGAGAGAGAGGGACAAGUUGCAGUAGCCUGCACAGCUGAAUGAGAACACUGCUGAUGAUCUGUAGGAGCCAGAAGCUGCUUGAAGAUCUCCCCUUAAGGCUUGCUGCUUAAAUAAAGGAUCUGAGGAAAGGCUGCCCUGGCUUCAGGGCCUGCUGAGAGCUCUGGCAGUGCUGGAUGCAGAGCACAGAGUUCCAGAGGUGAGCUGGAGCACAGAUCACUGCAGCUUAGCGGGAUGAGCUUAUGCCAAGCAUACACCUUUACCUCAAGCUCAGUGAAUGACACCUUUGUAACAGCCUCUGCUUUCUGGACUGUGGAGACCAGGAGCCUGCUGAGCUGUCUGCUUGGGAAAAGGCAAGUACCAAACAUCCCUUUGCCUUCUUCAACCAGGGCAAAAAUUGUAUUUCAUUUCUACCACUAAAAAUCCAUUUCCCAGGGAGCUCCAUGGCACCUGGGCAGCAUCUGAAUGAUCUAUAUUGGGAAGACAGAAAGCAGAGGCAGUGGCUUUGGUUACACUGAAACAUUUG